rnacentral:other from 1 species
CGCCACCUGGAGUGCAGGCUAGUCAAAAAGUCCUUGACCGAUAAUACUACCCCGGGAAUUUCUACUGGUACUGUUGUGCACGUCCGCAAGCCGGAAAGCCUGAUGUACCACGGAGAUACCCACCUUGAACCUUUCGGUUCAAGGCCACGUUGACGGCGGCACUUCCGGGGACUU